rnacentral:rRNA from 1 species
GAUCUGGCUCAGAUUGAACGCUGGCGGCAGGCUUAACACAUGCAAGUCGAGCGGGGAAAUGUAGCUUGCUACAUUACCUAGCGGCGGACGGGUGAGUAAUGCUUAGGAAUCUGCCUAUUAGUGGGGGACAACAUCUCGAAAGGGAUGCUAAUACCGCAUACGUCCUACGGGAGAAAGCAGGGGACCUUCGGGCCUUGCGCUAAUAGAUGAGCCUAAGUCGGAUUAGCUAGUUGGUGGGGUAAAGGCCUACCAAGGCGACGAUCUGUAGCGGGUCUGAGAGGAUGAUCCGCCACACUGGGACUGAGACACGGCCCAGACUCCUACGGGAGGCGGCAGUGGGGAAUAUUGGACAAUGGGGGGAACCCUGAUCCAGCCAUGCCGCGUGUGUGAAGAAAGGCCUUUUGGUUGUAAAGCACUUUAAGCGAGGAGGAGGCUACCGAGAUUAAUACUCUUGGAUAGUGGACGUUACUCGCAGAAUAAGCACCGGCUAACUCUGUGCCAGCAGCGGC